rnacentral:rRNA from 1 species
UAGAUACCCUGGUAGUCCACGCCGUAAACGAUGGAUACUAGCUGUUUGGGGUAUCGACCCCCUGAGUAGCGAAGCUAACGCGUUAAGUAUCCCGCCUGUGGAGUACGAUCGCAAGAUUAAAACAUAAAGGAAUUGACGGGGACCCGCACAAGCGGUGGAUCAUGUUCUUUAAUUCGAUGAUAACCGAUAAACCUUACCAGGUCUUGACAUCCUUGGAAUCUUUCAGAAAUGAGAGAGUGCUUUUAAGAGC